rnacentral:rRNA from 1 species
GACGAACGCUGGCGGCGUGCUUAACACAUGCAAGUCGAACGGAAAGGCCCUGCUUUUGUGGGGUGCUCGAGUGGCGAACGGGUGAGUAACACGUGAGUAACCUGCCCUUGACUUUGGGAUAACUUCAGGAAACUGGGGCUAAUACCGGAUAGGAGCUCCUGCUGCAUGGUGGGGGUUGGAAAGUUUCGGCGGUUGGGGAUGGACUCGCGGCUUAUCAGCUUGUUGGUGGGGUAGUGGCUUACCAAGGCUUUGACGGGUAGCCGGCCUGAGAGGGUGACCGGCCACAUUGGGACUGAGAUACGGCCCAGACUCCUACGGGAGGCAGCAGUGGGGAAUAUUGCACAAUGGGCGGAAGCCUGAUGCAGCAACGCCGCGUGCGGGAUGACGGCCUUCGGGUUGUAAACCGCUUUCGCCUGUGACGAAGCGUGAGUGACGGUAAUGGGUAAAGAAGCACCGGCUAACUACGUGCCAGCAGCCGCGGUGAUACGUAGGGUGCGAGCGUUGUCCGGAUUUAUUGGGCGUAAAGGGCUCGUAGGUGGUUGAUCGCGUCGGAAGUGUAAUCUUGGGGCUUAACCCUGAGCGUGCCUUCGAUACGGGUUGACUUGAGGAAGGUAGGGGAGAAUGGAAUUCCUGGUGGAGCGGUGGAAUGCGCAGAUAUCAGGAGGAACACCAGUGGCGAAGGCGGUUCUCUGGGCCUUUCCUGACGCUGAGGAGCGAAAGCGUGGGGAGCGAACAGGCUUAGAUACCCUGGUAGUCCACGCUGUAAACGGUGGGUACUAGGUGUGGGGUCCAUUCCACGGGUUCCGUGCCGUAGCUAACGCUUUAAGUACCCCGCCUGGGGAGUACGGCCGCAAGGCUAAAACUCAAAGGAAUUGACGGGGCCCCGCACAAGCGGCGGAGCAUGCGGAUUAAUUCGAUGCAACGCGUAGAACCUUACCUGGGUUUGACAUGGAUCGGGAGUGCUCAGAGAUGGGUGUGCCUCUUUUGGGGUCGGUUCACAGGUGGUGCAUGCCUGUCGUCAGCUCGUGUCGUGAGAUGUUGGGUUAAGUCCCGCAACGAGCGCAACCCUUGUUCACUGUUGCCAGCACGUUAUGGUGGGGACUCAGUGGAGACCGCCGGGGUCAACUCGGAGGAAGGUGGGGAUGACGUCAAGUCCUCAUGCCCCUUAUGUCCAGGGCUUCACGCAUGCUACAAUGGCUGGUACAGAGAGUGGCGAGCCUGUGAGGGUGAGCGAAUCUCGGAAAGCCGGUCUCAGUUCGGAUUGGGGUCUGCAACUCGACCUCAUGAAGUCGGAGUCGCUAGUAAUCGCAGAUCAGCAACGCUGCGGUGAAUACGUUCCCGGGGCU